GCGGGGGCAGCCGCGGCUGCCUUGGAAACCGCGCUGCCUAGACUCAGCAGCCCCUCUCUGGGCAGCCUUGCUGAGGUGCUGGCAGAGUCUGGCAGCCCGCGUUCGUUAGCAGCCGAGAAGGCGCCAUCCUUUUCCCCUGCAGGGCCACAGAGACUGGAAGGUGAAACCGAACUGUAGGCGACGCCAGAGCAUCCGUUGCCCACCUGCGGAGCCAAGCGGUCCAUCAAAGCCAAUUUUGAACUUGAAUUCUGUGCGUCUGAUUGCAGAACUGUGGCGCAGUCUCCAAGCUCAGAGCACCCGGAUCUGCGACCCCCUGUGGACAAAGAUCGGCCAUACUAGGGAGACAAGCUCUCUCAUUGAAGACACCUGUUGCAGAGGCCGGACAUGAA